rnacentral:rRNA from 1 species
GACGAACGCUGGCGGCGGGCUUAACACAUGCAAGUCGAACGGAAAGGCCCUGCUUUUGUGGGGUGCUCGAGUGGCGAACGGGUGAGUAACACGUGAGUAACCUGCCCUUGACUUUGGGGUAACUUCAGGAAACUGGGGCUAAUACCGGAUAGGAUCUCCUGCUGCAUGGUGGGGGUUGGAAAGUUUCGGCGGUUGGGGAUGGACGCGCGGCUUAUCAGCUUGUUGGUUGGGUAGUGGUUUACCAAGGCUGUGACGGGUAGCCGGCCUGAGAGGGUGACCGGCCACAUGGGGCCUGAGAUACGGCCCAGACUCCUACGGGAGGCAGCAGGGGGGAAUAUUGCACAAUGGGAGGAAGCCUGAUGCAGCAACGCCGCGUGCGGGAUGACGGCCUUCGGGUUGUAAACCGCUUUCGCCUGUGACGAAGCGUGAGUGACGGUAAUGGGUAAAGAAGCACCGGCUAACUACGUG